rnacentral:rRNA from 1 species
GAUGAACGCUAGCUACAGGCUUAACACAUGCAAGUCGAGGGGGAAACGACAUCGAAAGCUUGCUUUUGAUGGGCGUCGACCGGCGCACGGGUGAGUAACGCGUAUCCAACCUGCCCACCACUUGGGGAUAACCUUGCGAAAGUAAGACUAAUACCCAAUGAUAUCCCACGAAGGCAUCCGAAUGGGAUUAAAGAUUUAUCGGUGAUGGAUGGGGAUGCGUCUGAUUAGCUUGUUGGCGGGGGUAACGGGCCCCACCAAGGCGACGAUCAGUAGGGGUUCUGAGAGGAAGGUCCCCCACAUUGGAACUGAGACACGGUCCAAACUCCUACGGGAGGCAGCAGUGAGGAAUAUUGGUCAAUGGACGAGAGUCCGAACCAGCCAAGUAGCGUGCAGGAUGACGGCCCUAUGGGUUGUAACUGCUUUAUAGGAAUAAGUGGCCACGCGUCGGCCUUUUUGCAGGUACCGUCAUGAAGUAAGGACCGGCUAAUUCCGU